rnacentral:lncRNA from 1 species
GACAGGUCUUAAUUGUACAACAAAUAUUUUGGUCAACUAGCACAUAGGCAGUGAAUUAUGGACAUAUGUAUCAUACCAAAGUUGUGCACAUUUUAAGGAAGAUGGAAAAUGACAGCAACGAGUUGCCAAGGCUUCGUUCAAUUAUUAAGGGUUUGAUGGUGGCUACUGACUUGAACGAUGGUUAUGCAUUUCGCCGAGCUGUAUAUAUGUUCCUGAGAUAUUUAAAUUACACACAUUAUUGAAUUAUUUUUUCUGUAAUUUGACAAGAGUCUUUGUCUUUAAUAUGCAAUGGUG